GAUGAACGCUAGCGACAGGCUUAACACAUGCAAGUCGAGGGGCAGCGGGGUGUGGCAACACACUGCCGGCGACCGGCGCACGGGUGAGUAACGCGUAUGCAACUUGCCUAUCAGAGGGGGAUAACCCGGCGAAAGUCGGACUAAUACCGCAUAAAACAGGGGUUCCGCCUGGGGAUAUUUGUUAAAGAUUCAUCGCUGAUAGAUAGGCAUGCGUUCCAUUAGGCAGUUGGCGGGGUAACGGCCCACCAAACCGACGAUGGAUAGGGGUUCUGAGAGGAAGGUCCCCCACAUUGGUACUGAGACACGGACCAAACUCCUACGGGAGGCAGCAGUGAGGAAUAUUGGUCAAUGGCCGGGAGGCUGAACCAGCCAAGUCGCGUGAAGGAUGAAGGUUCUAUGGAUUGUAAACUUCUUUUGUGCGGGAAUAAAGUCGGGGAUGCGUCCCCGUUUGCAUGUACCGUACGAAUAAGCAUCGGCUAACUCCGUGCCAGCCGCCGUAACAC
rnacentral:rRNA from 1 species